UACGAAGGGGGCUAGCGUUGUUCGGAAUUACUGGGUGUAAAGCGCGCGUAGGCGGGAGGCCAAGUCCGCUGUGAAAUCGCCCGGCUCAACUGGGCGCGGUCGGUGGAAACUGGUCACCUGGAGGACGGUAGAGGCGAGUGGAAUUCCCGGUGUAGUGGUGAAAUGCGUAGAGAUCGGGAGGAACACCAGUGGCGAAGGCGGCUCGCUGGGCCGACCCUGACGCUGAGGCGCGAAGGCGUGGGGAGCGAACGGG
rnacentral:rRNA from 1 species